UCUACCAAAGGAUAAUAGUAU
rnacentral:tRNA from 2 species